GAUGAACGCUGGCGGCGUGCUUAACACAUGCAAGUCGAACGGAAAGGCCACAGCUUGCUGUUGUACUCGAGUGGCGAAAGGGUGAGUAACACGUGGGUGAUCUGCCCUGUACUUCGGGAUAAGCUUGGGGAACUGGGACUAAUACCGGAUAGGAAUCACCUGUGGGUGUGUGGUUGGAGAGCUUUUGCGGUAUGGGAUGAGCUCGCGGCCUAUCAGCUUGUUGGUGGGGUAAUGGCCUACCAAGGCGUCGACGGGUAGCCGGCCUGAGAGGGUGUACGGCCACAUUGGGACUGAGAUACGGCCCAGACUCCUACGGGAGGCAGCAGUGGGGAAUAUUGCACAAUGGGCGCAAGCCUGAUGCAGCGACGCCGCGUGGGGGAUGACGGCCUUCGGGUUGUAAACUCCUUUCGGCAGGGACGAAGCGAAAGUGACGGUACCUGGAUAAGAAGCACCGGCUAACUACGUG
rnacentral:rRNA from 1 species